rnacentral:rRNA from 1 species
CAGCCGCCGCGGUAAUACGGGGGGUGCAAGCGUUAUUCGGAAUUAUUGGGCGUAAAGGGCGCGUAGGCGGUCUUGUCGGUCAGAUGUGAAAGCCCAGGGCUCAACCCUGGACGUGCAUUUGAAACAGCAAGACUUGAGUACGGGAGAGGAAAGCGGAAUUCCUGGUGUAGAGGUGAAAUUCGUAGAUAUCAGGAGGAACACCGAUGGCGAAGGCAGCUUUCUGGACCGAUACUGACGCUGAGGCGCGAAGGCGUGGGUAGCGAACAGGAUUAGAUACCCUGGUAGUCCACGCAGUAAACGAUGUUCACUAGGUGUGUCGGAUAUUAAAAUCUGAUGUGCCCAAGCUAACGCAUUAAGUGAACCGCCUGGGGAGUACGGUCGCAAGACUAAAACUCAAAGGAAUUGACGGGGGCCCGCACAAGCGGUGGAGCAUGUGGUUUAAUUCGACGCAACGCGAAGAACCUUACCUGGGUUUGACAUCCUGUGAAAGUCUAAGAGAUUAGACAGUGCCUUCGGGAGCACAGAGACAGGUGCUGCAUGGCUGUCGUCAGCUCGUGUCGUGAGAUGGUUGGUUAAGUCCAGCAACGAGCGCAACCCUUAUCGUUAGUUGCCAGCACGUAAUGGUGGGAACUCUAGCGAGACUGCCCGGGUUAACCGGGAGGAAGGCGGGGAUGACGUCAAGUCCUCAUGGCCCUUAUAUCCAGGGCUACACACGUGCUACAAUGGUAAAUACAGAGGGCAGCGAGCCGGCAACGGUUAGCGAAUCCCUANAAGUUUAUCUCAGUCCGGAUUGGAGUCUGCAACUCGACUCCAUGAAGUUGGAAUCGCUAGUAAUCGCGGAUCAGCAUGCCGCGGUGAAUAUGUUCCCGGGCCUUGUACACACCGCCCGUCACACCAUGAGAGUUGAUUAUACCCGACGUCGUUGGGCCAACCUUUAU